UUGGCAGAACACCUGUGUUUCCUACCUGGACAGUCUCCUGGUGCCUCUCUCCUUUCCUUGACGGGCUGCUCAGCAGCUUAUACAUUGCAGUUUUGAGAUGAAGAGAACUCUGUCAUUCACCUGGGAAUAGCAUCUUUAAGUGGAAGCACUCAUCUCUCACUGACAUUGUCCAAGUUCAGGAAGCAUGAAGGAGGAAUUCCAUCAGAGAUUUCUACAUUGAUUCUGCUGCUCCACAGUUAUUGCACUAAUUGGGCCAUACUUAGCUGUUGCACCAGCUCCUGAAAUGCUAUGUUGUAUGACAUCAUUAUUAUAUGGUAGGUACUACAUGCCAGCUCUAUGAAAA
rnacentral:lncRNA from 1 species